AUGCUUAUUUUGGCAGCACACAUAUACUUAAGUUGUAAUGAUACAGAGAAUGGCCCCUAAACAAGAAUGACACACACAUUUGUGCAGUGUUCUAUGUUUUU
rnacentral:snRNA from 1 species